rnacentral:rRNA from 1 species
UACGUAGGGUGCGAGCGUUAAUCGGAAUUACUGGGCGUAAAGCGUGCGCAGGCGGUUUUGUAAGCCAGAUGUGAAAUCCCCGGGCUUAACCUGGGAAUGGCAUUUGGGACUGCAAGGCUGGAGUGCGGCAGAGGAGAUUGGAAUUCCUGGUGUAGCAGUGAAAUGCGUAGAUAUCAGGAGGAACACCGAUGGCGAAGGCAGGUCUCUGGGCUGACACUGACGCUCAUGCACGAAAGCGUGGGGAGC